AGCUCCACUUUAACUAGUAAUGUGGCCUAGAGUUAGUUAUUUUGUGUCUGAGUUUGUUUCCUUUUCUGUAAGGUGAAGAAAAUAUCUAACUCUGUAGAAUAAAGUUCCAGAAGGAAAUUAUUCCAUUAUGUUGUGUUUUGGAGAAGUAGAGAUGGAGAGCAGACUAAUGGCAAUUCCAAUGGUCUUGUACCGAUGCUGAGAGUAUAUAACAACACAGCUCGAUAUGUGGAUCAAGGUGGGAACAAGCGUCCUGGGGCAUUUGCUAUUUACCUGGAGCCUUGGCAUUUAGACAUCUUUGAAUUCCUUGAUUUAAAGAAGAACACAGGAAAGGAAGAGCAGCGUGCCAGAGAUCUUUUCUUUGCUCUUUGGAUUCCGGAUCUCUUCAUGAAACGAGUGGAGACUAAUCAGGACUGGUCUUUGAUGUGUCCAAAUGAGUGUCCUGGUCUGGAUGAGGUUUGGGGAGAGGAAUUUGAGAAACUAUAUGCAAGUUAUGAGAAACAAGGUCGUGUCCGCAAAGUUGUAAAAGCUCAGCAGCUUUGGUAUGCCAUCAUUGAGUCUCAGACGGAAACAGGCACCC
rnacentral:sRNA from 1 species